rnacentral:rRNA from 1 species
ACGGGUGAGUAAUGCCUCGGAACCUGCCCGGGAGUGGGGGACGGCCUUGCGAAAGGAGGAUUAAUACCGCAUACGCCCUACGGAAGAAAGCGGGGGAUCUUCGGACCUUGCGCUCUCGGAGCAGCCUAUGGCGGAUUAGCUAGUUGGUGAGGUAAUGGCUCACCAAGGCGACGAUCCGUAACUGGUCUGAGAGGACGACCAGCCACACUGGAACUGAGACACGGCCCAGACUCCUACGGGAGGCAGCAGUGGGGAAUUUUGGACAAUGGGGGCAACCCUGAUCCAGCCAUGCCGCGUGUGUGAAGAAGGUCUUCGGAUUGUAAAGCACUUUUGUUUGGAAGGAAGGGUUGUGGAUUAAUACCUCGGGGGUAUGACGGUACCGAAAGAAUAAGCACCGGCUAACUCUGUGCCAGCAGCCGCGGUAAUACAUAGGGUGCAAGCGUUAAUCGGAAUUACUGGGCGUAAAGCGCGCGCAGGUGGUUUGUUAAGAUGGAUGUGAAAUCCCCGGGCUCAACCUGGGAACUGCAUUGGUGACUGGCGAGCUAGAGUGUGGCAGAGGGUGGUGGAAUUCCCCGUGUAGC